rnacentral:rRNA from 1 species
CUCAUUAAAUCAGUUAUCGUUUAUUUGAUAGCACCUUACUACUUGGAUAACCGUGGUAAUUCUAGAGCUAAUACAUGCUGAAAAUCCCGACUUCGGAAGGGAUGUAUUUAUUAGAUUAAAAACCAAUGCCCUUCGGGGCUCACUGGUGAUUCAUGAUAACUUCUCGAAUCGCAUGGCCUUGCGCCGGCGAUGGUUCAUUCAAAUUUCUGCCCUAUCAACUUUCGACUGCUGGGUCUUGGCCAGCAAUGGUGACAACGGGUAACGGAGGGUUAGGGCUCGACCCCGGAGAAGGAGCCUGAGAAACGGCUACUACAUCCAAGGAAGGCAGCAGGCGCGCAAAUUACCCAAUCCCGACACGGGGAGGUAGUGACAAUAAAUACUGAUACAGGGCUCUUUUGGGUCUUGUAAUUGGAAUGAGUACAAUUUAAAUCCCUUAACGAGGAACAAUUGGAGGGCAAGUCUGGUGCCAGCAGCCGCGGUAAUUCCAGCUCCAAUAGCGUAUAUUAAAGUUGUUGCAGUUAAAAAGCUCGUAGUUGAACCUUGGGCCUGGCCGGCCGGUCCGCCUCACCGCGUGCACUGGUUCGGCCGGGCCUUUUCCUCUGGCGAGCCCCAUGCCCUUCACUGGGCGUGUGGGGGAACCAGGACUUUUACUUUGAAAAAAUUAGAGUGUUCAAAGCAGGCCUAUGCUCGAAUACAUUAGCAUGGAAUAAUAGAAUAGGACGUGCGGUUCUAUUUUGUUGGUUUCUAGGACCGCCGUAAUGAUUAAUAGGGACAGUCGGGGG